UUAGGGCACAGUAUCGAUGAUGUGCGGAUCACGGUCUCUAACGGCGCACAGCGGGGCCAUUAUCGUGUGUUGUCACCGCGUGCCAUUAAAAGGACUUUAAUCUGCCGAUCGCCGCCGCGAUACGCGGCUCCUGCCAGGGAUCUACCGACUAACAGGCCGGGACGCUGCGAAAUCUCCCAGCCCCCGGGGUCGCCUGAAAAACACGGCCCGGCUCCCCCGUCAGUCAAUCGCGGCAACUCAAUUAAUGCAUCUGGGUCAGGAAAAUGGUUUGCGGGAGCCUGAGCCCGGUUACGAAACGCGGCGGGUACCGCGGGCGGCGGCGGAGGGCAGCACCCGCUGAGCCCAGGUGCAGCCACCCCCUUGUGUGACAGAUGCCGACUCCUGACUGACGUGUCUGCAUGUUGGGUGGUUUUUUCCGUGCAGGGUAAGAGAUUGGUCAGCCUGGACGCCUGCAAGGCUCUGCCCAGCCCUUUACCUCGUCUCUGACAGCAGCCACUGGUAGGUAUGUGGGGAGACACCCUAACAAGCCUCUUGCCUGGGGUGUUCCUAGUCUGCUGACCCAGCUGCAGACACUAGAUUAUUUGUGUCAGCCAUAAGAGCCCUGAAGCAACACUGUUCCCCUCCUUUUGGCAGAGAACACUCCAAAGAGUUACAGUUUGGAAACGGUAUUGAAAAAGUAUCAUGCAGCUAUUUAAGCAGAAUGGGAAUCCUGGAUGUCCUCACCUUAUGGACAGAGGGAUGGGGAAAGCUCAAGUGUGAGGGAGAUGGACUAUGGCUGACAUGGAUGCUGCUGAAGGAGGUCACUGUGUGGAAUUUCUGCUGCAAUGGAAAGGGAUGUUAUGUUAGCGUGACAUGACAGCAUAGGAUGAGGCAAAGCACUCGUCAAAGGAUGAGGGUCACAUUAGGACCUGCUAAUUCUGCUACUAACCUCAGGGUACAACUGGCAGGACCUGAUUCUCACUGGCAGGAUGAAAGAAAUGGGAAGAUGUUCUGGGAGAGCCAGAGCAAUCUUUACUUUACACAGUGCAGAGGACAAGGGACAAUGCGAAGAACGCCACAGAGGCCACAAUCAGACCAAGAGCUCUUUGAUAAAUAGCCAUACUCAAGGUCGAAAACUGAGACCAUGCACACAGUGAAAGGAAUUUGAGGUACACUGCAGGAAUUUUGAGCCAACGUGUUUUCUCUUGAUGUGCAGCCUAGGUUUCCUUCUCCUCCUCUAAACAGUGGCUCCUCUUCAUGUCUUCAGAAAACAUGAUUGAUUUUUAAAGCUGCCAUGCAUUUUACAAUAGCAAGUUAGUGAUAGAAAGAGAAAAAAUUACAACAAAUUCGUGUUUUGGCAAGUAGAAUUAGGCUGUAUAAAACAAUAACGUUAGAAAAAACAAUUCAUUGCAGAUAACGUCUAUAACAACAAAUCUUCAAACAACCAAAGAACACAAGAUUGGUACUUAUAGCACAUCUUGUACCCACCUCAGUGCCACUGCAGGCAGAGGUCUUGAUUUUUAAGGACAUGCAACGUGUUGCAUGUUUUACACAAGUAUCUGUUACAUGAGCACAUUAAAGAUCUAGCUCCAGCUUAGAUGCCCUUUUUCUGGAGCAGAUGUGAUGCUUCCUGUGAUGCUGGGGAAUGGAGUGGAUGUGAACUGCUCUCUCAGAUACUGCUUGUUUCUUGGAUGAACAGCUUUUCUUCCCUCAUGAAGGAUGUUUCUGCUUUGCACCCACAUCCCUUCCUUCAGGAGGAGCAGACUUAGCACUGUUUCCUGGAGACACCCAUUGCUGGUCCCUCUCAAGUUCCUUCAGUGAGAAGCCUUGUGUCCUCCACAAACACACAACAAUUUCCUAAGCCAUUGGGUGAGGAGCUCUGUUCCUCUAAGCAGAGGAGCAGCAAACCCUUGUGGACUCUGUGUCAGGCUUACCAGCUGUAAGAAGCACCACCUGUCAGGCCCCUAACACACCCUCCUACCCUUCCCAGGCUCUUGAAUGCCUGGGCUCAGGGCCAGCUUAGGUAAGGGUUGCAGGUGUCACAUCUUGAAUCAAAGGUUUGAGAAAACACUGUGAGAAGCCUUGGUGGGAAUGACCACUCUUCCCUGAGCUUUUAAGCUGAGCACUCUACCUGUGCUCUUUGCCUAAGCUACCUCUGUAGCUACAUCACGGACAUGCCUGUGCCCAUUCCUGUGCUCCAGGCUGGCCACCCACCCAAGAUGGACUCAGCCCAAGGAAGCCAAGAAGCAUACGGAGCUUGUUCACAAAUCCUCCCUGGCACUGGAAACAAAGCACCAUAUGCUGGAGCAGCCAGAGCAAAAGAAUGCAUCCAAGGCAAAGGGAGUCAAGAGCAGAAGGGCAAGGGAGGUACACAGGGAAGGCACCAGGACAUCUGCUUCAUGAUUCCCCUCCUCCUCCUUAUGGCCGCUGGUGGGUAACACCAGGGGGUGCCUCUCUGACUUCACUUUCUGACAUCCUGCCCCUAAGGUGGCUAAAUCUUCUCCUCUCAUACUGCUUUUGGACAUCAUCACUUCCCUCCUCUUUGCCUUAGGCUUUCCUAGCCCCUUGCUGUGUUAGCUGCCUACUCAGCCCACUGUGCAGGUGAAACCAACAGCUGUAUCAGCAACAAGCAUUGGGAGUGAGGAGAUCAGGUCCUGUAAUGUGUGCCAUUGUCCCUAGAACAGAGCAUGGCAGGCAAGCCCCCACCCCACUGUCACUGAUGCAUAAGUCACAAAAGUCACCUGCAUCACUGGUCUGUCACACUGGGUCUGCUGGCUCAGACUGUAGAUAUUCAGAGUUUUAAUUAACAUGGAAACAAGUAGGGCUUUCUUUUUUGAACAUGUAUAGUUGAGGCUGAUAAAGUUUUGCAUCAGUUUAUUGUUUUGUGUGAGCUUAUUGCCUUUGAGAUAUGUGAUUUCCAACAUGUAUACUCGAGUCCGAUAAAGUUUUGUAUCAGUUUAUUGCCUUUAAAAUGUAUGAUUUUCACGUUUGUCCUGAAUUGUAUCUGUUAACUUUUCUUCUUUUCCUGGACAACCAACUGAAAAAUGUUUGUAUUAGGAAUUGAGAUAAAUGAUUUAUUGACUCAUUUGAAAUAUCUUUUUUUAUGAUAUAAAGUCACUUGUACUCAAUACUCAAUCUCAUAUGGCAAAAGAAAACAUAAAAAAGGGACAACAUAAACAUCAGCACUGCAACACACCAUGAAAGUGAUCUCUGAAGAACCCCCUACACUGUCCAGCUCCUCAUGGGGCUUCUGACCUGGUCAAGAGUCACAGAUCUGUACCAGAACAUCCCAUGUCUUCCUGCCAUCACGCUGGCCUCAUGGAUGAGGGAUGUAAAGCAUGCCUUCAGUCCCUGGGAAUCACUGCAGGCAUCCCAGUGACACUUGUGUUGAAUCUCCCCUCCAGGGCAGAAGAAUUCAGCGAGUCUCUUAUUCAUCGCUUUGAUGCCUGAGAAUCUACAGGAUUUAGAAAAUGAAGUCUCUCUGACUCUUCCUUUUUUCCAUUUCAGUGUUUUCCUUCCACCUUGCAUUUUGCAGUCCUCUCCGAGGCCCAGCCCAGCCUGCAGACCUGUGCAGGAUCUUUUAUCCCACAGACCUCCCCUGGGGAGGUUGUCAUGCGGCAGUUGCACAAUGUUCGUAAGUAAAGAAGCUAUAAGGACUGCACAAGUCACACAAAACCAAACUAAAUUACAUACUGGUUUUCACUAGGUUCUGAUGACUUCAGAAGCACAGCAAGGGCCUCUGUAAUACUUAUGAAUUACUGACAUGCUAUUAUUUCUGUGCAGGAGCAGGACAAAAUAGUUACACAGGGGGUGCACUACGGAUGUGGUACCAUACAGAAAGACCUCACCAUUUCCAUGCAGGAAUAAAAGAACCAGGUACACCUUUCUAGUUUUGAUGCAGGAUUUGGUUUUUAGCACCUGGAUAACAUUACUGACCUCCAGAGCAUUGCUGUAGACUGUGAAGUAGUACCAAAUAAAAUACAAAGUUCUACAUUUACUUUCUCCUGAAGAUUUUUCUUUCAAACUGGGUCAACUUCUAAGUAAAGCAAGAGAGUAUUUUAAUCUGUCAGCACUUCAAAACCAGUCUGGUACUUGAAAAUUACUUCUGGGCUUAAAAAUGUUAUGGACUCUGAAUUUGGAAGGCAGUAUUGUUGGUACAUAAGAUCUAAUGGUAUAUAAUUCAAAACCUGAUCUUUCCUGAUCUUAGCUGACCAUUAUUUUAGCAAAUGUUUGCUUUGGUGGGGUUUGGGGGUGAUAUGAGCAAAUGAAAGCUCCAUGAAGAUAUUUUUGCUAACACUGAAAAUGAAAAACUAAACCAACAUCCCCCCAGUUUUUUAAUCAGUAGCGUUUACCAUCUUUAAAAAAAUACACUCUAUUAUAGAUGUGGAAGCAGAUCAUAAAACUGCUCUGCCCAGUUCUGCAGGGGAAUCAAACAGAUGGCAGAUCCCACUGCAAUUUGGAUGAAGAUUUCAUAGCUAGAUAAUCAAGAAAAUAGUAAAGUGGUUUCAAGGUCAACAAUGAGGUGAAAAUCAGAUUUUCUUCAGCUAGGAGCAUCUACAGCCUUUCUCACACAUUUAGAGGAAAUACACCAAACUCAGAAAUUCCUUCACUACCAAGAGCAAAAGCCCUCAGUGUAAGAAGAUAUUGCUACAGGGGAGAAUUUUCUUGGUUAACUAGCCUUUUUAAAAUUAAAAUUUAAACUAUUAUUUCCAAAUAGUUGUGCAUGACUAUUUACGUGACUGUAUGUUAGUAUGUUUUUUUAAAUUCAAUUAAACCUACAGGUGGUCAUACACCAGAUUGUAAAUAAUAUUAGUUAUGAAUUUUGGCAACCAAAAUGAUUUUCAAAUAAUGGUUAUUGUUAUUGAAUUUGUUCUGGGACCAACACUCAUGUAGAGCUGUUGGCAGAUGAUUCUUUUCCUCUGUGCUUGUGUCUUUUAUGCCCUCACGAAUCCCUGAAUUGAGAAGUUAUAGCUUUAAAUGGAAAAUAUCCUCCCUGAUUUGUUGUGUUCUUUUAAAAAUAAAAACCUCAAGCAAUCCA